AUACACACCCAAGAGUUACCAUGCAUGAUCCGUGAAUGAUGGGUAUCAGGCCUGGACCAGGUUUGAUUCUAUAACGGUCCAGCAUCGACGGCCAUCACUGCUGAAUCGAGGCUGUUGCUCUGGCCUGGACCAGUAUCUAUUUCAGUCCCGAUGUAGUCAUAGCUGAUACAGUAAUGUCUGUUCGUCAGCACUGGUCCAGGCUGUAUAUCAGUACUGGAUCAGAUCGAUGCUUUUCAAGAUGGCAGCCCCGCGUGGACUAUCUGACAUGUUUUGUUAAAGAAAAUAAUCUUAAUCUGACUCUUUAAGAGAAAUCUCGUUGGCUGUAUACACUAGGGCUAAAUCACUGGAUGUUAUGCUAUUUUGAACCAUUUAUUACUUAAACAUGAGUAUAGGAUACACGAUAUUUUGAGUAAAAAAUACAUGACUGGAAAAUAAAACGACUGACAACUUCCAAUUAAAGUUUACCACAUCUUGCCUACAAAAUCUCUAUGAUAUGAAAGUAGAGACCUGGGUUUAUGAGGAAUUAUCAAAGGGUAUUGAGCCAAACAUUGAAACAGAGCCAGAAGACCUUUCUGCAAUAAUCAUGACACUAGUGAAGACGAUGAGAAAUCAGGCGUAAAAAUGGUUCACUACAUGUGAUUGUAACUAUGUUUUUAAUUAGGGUGAAUGUAUUAGUGAUCAUGAUGAUGAAGAUAUUGUACUGAGAGACUUAUGAAUGAUAGUCACAAGUGUGAAUUUUUGAUACGGAAGAUUAUUCUGGAAAUAUUAGUAUAGUAGGUGCUCCUUUAAUUCAUAUUAAUUUAUUAAUUUAGCAAGGUCACUGGUAUACAUUCUAUAGUUACCUUAUCUCACUAAGUUUCAA